rnacentral:lncRNA from 1 species
GGGGUGUGUGUUUGAGUUCGACCAAGACAAGAGGAAAAGGGGCAAACCCUUCUUGGCCAAGAACAAGCAAAUUGAAAGGGGAAUCUAAUGUUAAAUUGGUGCAUGAAACUCAAAUCUUGAUCAUCUUAACCUUCUUAACAAACGGGCUAAAGGAAGAAGGUUCAAGCCACACGAAGCAAGAAGGAAAUCAAGACCGAGGUAUGUUACUUGUACAUUUUGAAUUGUAGUAAAGGUGUCUUUAUGUUUUAAAUUGUAGAUUUGAUUGCUUAUUGUAUCAAAGUGAAUUUGUUAUAUGUUUAUGUUGUCGAAUUAUCCCGAACGGGUCAAUUCAUUAGAAGUGUAUGUUAGAUGUAGGUUUGUGAUGAUGACUCGUUGUAAACGGGUCAAACAAUUGAUAUGUGAAUUUUGAGAAUGAGUUUACUAACAUCCGUUUUGAACGGGUCGAAUAAUUAGAACGAAUCAUGACAAGGGUGUUAUGUUGCAAAUCCGUUGUAAACGGGUUAGGAUAAGAAGAGCCUUAUGAGGAAGAAUGGCUAAGUAAUAUACUCAUUCCGAAUGAGUCAUAUGAGAAAGAAUGGUGUAACCGAGAUGGUUAUGAAAACAAGAAAGUCGAAUUCAAGAAAGAGUUAGUCAAGUAUUGUACUAAUUUAAAAUGGCGAAUAUUAGUUCAUCAUGUUCAUUGAAAAUUAGUAAAACUCAAGUUUAGGUGGUUACGCUUCGCUCAAAUCGAACACACUUGAACGCCUUUCAUGCGCUUCCGCAACUUUUGAAAUAUCGUUAAUGGGUCAAAAUACUUUUGUUAAAAUAGGUUAUGUUUGUUAGUUAAAACUUUAACUUGAUGUGUUAAGUCUUUUGUAAAUUCUAGUUUGUUGUGAAUGUUUAAAUUGCUACAGUUUUCGUUAUGUCUUUUGGUAUGUGUCGUAGGAU